AUAUUGUUUUUAUCAUUUAAUUUUUUAUUGAUAAACUUAUAACUUAAUUUAAGCGUGACAUCCUAGUGUUAAAUUUUAAUAAACGUCUUAGUACUUAACAGCAUCACCGGUAUUAUGUAUAGUACCUACUACGACUUAAAAAUUGAGGAUUUUUCGACGAUGUAUUGUGGAUACCUACAGUUUAUCGGCACCGCCAUUUCCGCGGUUUAUAUAGCACAAGAAAUGUCGUCCCGAACAUUCAUCAUUCAAUUUGUCGAUCGUUUAACGUUCUAUUUAUGACAUCGAUACGUUGAUAACGUCUUUAUCUAUCUAUAGUACGAUUAACGGCUGUUGUGCGUCCGGGCCUCAAACUAGUAACAGCCAAUAUAGGGACACUAUUGCGGUUAAAAUGGCAUCACUUUUCACCCGAAGAUCUUCUCCACGGAUAAUGAACAUAAUGGACUUUAUAAAAAAAGAGAAUUUUCGCUCUCGACGACCGCCUAGCCGGGAUAAACGAAACAAAUGUGCCAGUAGGUGUACUAUCUACAGCUGGGCCUUAAAGUGGUACAAAAUUCCAGAGGGGGACUAUAUUGUCUCCAUAAAGUUUUAAGCGUUCAAUAUUAUAUAAUUGUGUGUAUAUAUA